rnacentral:rRNA from 1 species
AUUGAACGCUGGCGGCAUGCCUUACACAUGCAAGUCGAACGGUAACGCGGGGCAACCUGGCGACGAGUGGCGAACGGGUGAGUAAUGCAUCGGAACGUGCCCAGUAGUGGGGGAUAGCCCGGCGAAAGCCGGAUUAAUACCGCAUACGACCUAUGGGUGAAAGCGGGGGACCGUAAGGCCUCGCGCUAUUGGAGCGGCCGAUGUCAGAUUAGGUUGUUGGUGGGGUAAAAGCCUACCAAGCCGACGAUCUGUAGCUGGUCUGAGAGGACGACCAGCCACACUGGGACUGAGACACGGCCCAGACUCCUACGGGAGGCAGCAGUGGGGAAUUUUGGACAAUGGGGGAAACCCUGAUCCAGCCAUGCCGCGUGCGGGAAGAAGGCCUUCGGGUUGUAAACCGCUUUUGUCAGGGAAGAAACGCGCUGAGCUAACACCUCGGUGUAAUGACGGUACCUGAAGAAUAAGCACCGGCUAACUACGUGCCAGCCGCCGCGGUAAUAC